UGGGGAAUAUUGGACAAUGGGCGCAAGCCUGAUCCAGCCAUGCCGCGUGAGUGAUGAAGGCCCUAGGGUUGUAAAGCUCUUUCGCCAGGGACGAUAAUGACGGUACCUGGAUAAGAAGCCCCGGCUAACUUCGUGCCAGCAGCCGCGGUAAUACGAGGUGGGCUAGCGUUGUUCGGAAUCACUGGGCGUAAAGCGCACGUAGGCGGAUCUUUAAGUCAGGGGUGAAAUCCCGAGGCUCAACCUCGGAACUGCCUUUGAUACUGGAGGUCUCGAGUCCGGGAGAGGUGAGUGGAACUGCGAGUGUAGAGGUGAAAUUCGUAGAUAUUCGCAAGAACACCAGUGGCGAAGGCGGCUCACUGGCCCGGUACUGACGCUGAGGUGCGAAAGCGUGGGGAGCAAAACAGGAUUAGAUACCCUGGUAGUCCACGCCGUAAACUAUGGAUGCUAGCCGUUGGGCAGCUUGCUGUUCAGUGGCGCAGCUAACGCUUUAAGCGUCCCGCCUGGGGAGUACGGUCGCAAGAUUAAAACUCAAAGGAAUUGACGGGGUCAUAGCUGUUUCCU
rnacentral:rRNA from 1 species